rnacentral:rRNA from 1 species
UACAGAGGUCCCGAGCGUUGUUCGGAUUCACUGGGCGUAAAGGGUGCGUAGGUGGCUUGAAAAGUUUGAUGUGAAAGCUCAGGGCUUAGCCCUGAAAUGGCAUUGAAUACUGUCGAGCUGGAGGUUUGGAGGGGGGACUGGAAUUCUUGGUGUAGCAGUGAAAUCGUAGAUAUCAAGAGGAACACCAGUGGCGAAGGCGAGUCCCUGGACAACACCUGACACUGAGGCACGAAAGCUAGGGGAGCAAACAGG